GUCUUUGUUAAAUAAUGGUACACUCUAAAAAUGGCUGGGUUAUUUUUUAACCCAAAAUGCUGGGUUGAGUCUGUUGGGUUGUUUUGCUGGGUUAUUUUUUUACAUUUUAAACACUUUUUGGGUAGUUUCAGUUUUCUAGGUGUUGGGUUAAAACUGCUGGGUUAUUAUGUUGGGUUGUUUGAAGAGGCUCACGUGCUUCGCGCCCUUGAUGUUUGAAUGUGCUCAGCAAUGGUCGUCGUGAAAGGACAGAGUCACUGAAGCAGUUGUUUCAAGAGUGUGCAGAGUUUUUAUGUCCAUCCAUUGAUGAGGCUAGCAAGACCUUCAAACAACUUCAGCCAAUUGCAACAAAUGUGGUGGAAUUUCUUCUUUGGACAGAACCCUCGAAACCCUUUCCUUUCUUCCUGGCCAUGGGAAACAUGCAGCAGACCUCUCAAUCUUUUUUCUCAAUCAGUCUCUCUGAAUACGGAAGUGACUUAAACUGCAAUUCGGCCAAGAUGGCGACGGCACGCACCGCCUACUUUAAGCUUCAAAAAUGCUCUUCACAAACCAAUAGGUGACUGUAAUGACUUGUAAAAGACGGAAGC